CUUGGUCUUUGUUUUGGGGCCGAGGAUGACCAUCGGGCUGGAGGCGCUACCGGACGCCAUCAUGACGGUCGCACCCGGUCUAGUUUCCUCGCGGAUCCGACUCUCCUUGUUCCUGCUCCGGUCCCUGCGAUCAGAGGUUUUGAGGAACAGCUCUUGAUCCGUCAUGACAGCUCAGAAACGGCAGGAAUGUGUGUGUUGCACCUGACUAGCCUACUGUAUGCGUCAUGUGGUCUAUGAAUGGGCAGGGGGGCACGGUGGCUUAGUGGUUAGCACGUUCGCUUCACACCUCCAGGGUUGGGGGUUUGAUUCCAGCUUCCGACUUGUGUGUGUGGAGUUUGCAUGUUCUCCCCGUGCCUCGGGGGUUUCCUCCGGGUACUCCGGUUUCCUCCCCUGGUCCAAAGACAUGCAUGUUUAUUUUCAGUUCUUGCACACUUUAUGUUUCCGUUUCAAGGACCCACAUCGACUGGCACACACAUUGAUAUGACAGAAU